CCAGUGCUAACUAGAAAUAACCAAUCAGGGUCAGAAGGCGGGUCUUAGCGCUGUCAGUCAUGCUUAUGCUAGUUAGCAUAGCCACCGAUAACGGUGGAUAGACAGUUGUCCUGGAACUGUAAGUCGUUUCUCCGCCAUUAGCACAUUUAGCAACACAUUCACAAGAUUGAUUGACAGCGCUGAGACACUAUCCCAGGCGCUGACUGGCAGUUUUUGGUGCAUUUCUUCAGAAGGCAAUAGUGGAUCAGGGAGAAGGUGGAGAUUGAUCUUUUCACAGAUUAUCUGUCUCAACAAAGACAGUCUUCACAAAUAACAUUUUUUUUUUGUAAAAGCUGCAUUCUGUAGCUCUAAUAAAAUCUUUUUUGCACCUUGGGGUACACUUUACCUUCCCCUUGACCGCAAAUUAUCCUACUCAGUCAUUUCUUGAAUAAAAGUUUGUAUUUUUUUCCUUAGGCUAUUUAUUUCGCCGUGCUUAUUUUCUGUUGUCAUAUUUUUACCUCGUGUGAAUCUACACGCUCCGACUUGCUUGUUGUUACUUUCACACCUGAAUUUCCCCGCCGAGAGACGAUAAAGGGUUUUCAUAUUCUAUUUUA